ensembl:misc_RNA
UAGAGGCAGUGGAGACAGGAAUGGAGCCAAGGCGGCAGAAGCGGGAGGCGGGAGCAGAGCCAGGGUACA